rnacentral:rRNA from 1 species
UUAGUGGAUACACUACAACAUCUCGGAAUCGCUCACCUCUUUGAAGACCAAAUUAAUACCGCUAUGAGGCAAAUCCUGAAGAGUGAAUUUAGUAACUACAACCUCUAUGAAGUUGCCCUUCGGUUUCGCUUGCUGAGGGAACAUGGACACUGGGUAUCUCCAGAUGUUUUCAAUCGAUUCAAAAGUGAAGAUGGAAGCUUCAUCAAUGAUAUAACAAAUGAACCCAGGACACUAUUAUGUCUAUACAAUGCAUCUCAUCUUCUAAUUCAUGGUGAGCCAGCACUCGAAGAAGCCAUAACUUUUGCAAGGCGUUAUCUUGAGUCAUGUAGUGGUAGUUUAAAGACCCCACUAGCUCAACUAGUCCAACGUGCCCUUCACAUACCAAUGCCAAGGACAAAUAAGAGGGUGGAAAUGCUACAUUAUAUCCUAGAGUACGAACAAGAGGAGCAUAACCCGAUUCUACUGGAGCUUGCC